rnacentral:lncRNA from 1 species
CUCCACUUUCUACCUCUUUUCCACAGGCCUGUUUCCCCUCAGACCACUUGGGAGUGUGAUGGGCUUUCCUGCUGGCCCCUGGCUGCCAGGCACCCUGACCCCUGCCCUAGCCCCACCUUGCUGUCAGGCCUUCUCAGCCCGGCUGACCUUUGUGCUCUAGACUGUUUCCUCACUCCGUACUCCCGCUAAACCCUAACCAGUUUCAGAUCUUGGUCCUUUAGGGCUCUGUCUUCUGUUUCCCAAGAGCUUCGUUGAUUACCUCGAAAGGCGGGGGCUGGGACGGGGCACCGCAAUUCAAGGCACAACAGAAAUCGGGAGUGGAGCAUUUCUUCGGACCAUGCGCAUAACUUUGUGUUAAGUGUUGGCACUACAACGAAUUUCACCGAACUCUGCGGACCGCCCUAACAACCCAGCACAUCGACUACUCCCUGAGCGCAGACGGUGCGCGCUUCCUUGGUGGGCAUGGCGCUUCUGCCACCGCAGCCUGCAGACGUAGCCAGGAACCUCCCACCUACAGGCACUAUUAAUCACAGUGGAAACGAACAGGAAUCAACGCAUAAUGGAUAAGAUUAGCCGUCCGCGGAAGCACAGCACUUCAAACCGAGUGGUAAACACCGGCCAGCAGCUCUGCCAGAUAUAAUCAGAGACAAGAGCACUUCUGCCACCAAUCCAGAGACGAGAGUGCCCUGGAGUGUGGGCCUGGUGCAUCCUUAGGACCGGAACCUUUUUCGAAAGUGACCUUUUUAAUCAUGUUGUAACUGAGUGCCUGAUAGAAGGAUGGUGCUCUGUAUGGAUUCUAGAAUCUAGGGGAAGGAGCCAAAGAGUAAAUAUUUGUGGGUGUUUAUCCUGUGCUGCAAAUACUGUUUGAUAGGUCACUGGAUAACAUAAAAGCCAGCAUUUACAGAACACUUACUAUCUGUGCCAGGCCAGGGCCUAAUUUCAGUCUGAGGUAUGACUCCAAGACAACAGAUUGCCCUGUGGUUUGUGGAACACCCAUCUGCUGCCGUCACAUACUCUAACCCGGCAGGGCCAGGAGGGGCUGGCUGCUCCCAUCGCACCAAGAUGAAAGUGGCUGGCUCAGUGGCUCUGGUUUGGUAAUUAGACCCUUCAUUACAGCUCUCAAAAGUCAAGCCAGGCCCAGCAACUUUCUUUGAUAGUAAAGUAUUCUACCUUUUUCCAGACACUGACACUAACCUAAGGUGUAACGUUUAUAGUAACACAAGUAUAAAAUACGGGCACUGAAGAUCAGAGAAAAUUUGUAAAAUAGUACAUACCUAUGAUCUGAAAGACAGUGAGACAGCCUCCAAAUAUAUACACAUGGAUGAAUGAAUGGACCCCAGGGUACCACGUCAUCAUCGACAUGAAGGAGACAUGGAUAAGAAGGAAGAGUG